rnacentral:rRNA from 1 species
AUUGAACGCUGGCGGCAUGCCUUACGCAUGCAAAUCGAACGGUAACGGGCCUUCGGGUGCCGACGAGUGGCGAACGGGUGAGUAAUACAUCGGAACGUGCCCGAUCGUGGGGGAUAACGAGGCGAAAGCUUUGCUAAUACCGCAUACGAUCUACGGAUGAAAGCAGGGGACCGCAAGGCCUUGCGCGGACGGAGCGGCCGAUGGCAGAUUAGGUAGUUGGUGGGAUAAAAGCUUACCAAGCCGACGAUCUGUAGCUGGUCUGAGAGGAUGAUCAGCCACACUGGGACUGAGACACGGCCCAGACUCCUACGGGAGGCAGCAGUGGGGAAUUUUGGACAAUGGGCGCAAGCCUGAUCCAGCCAUGCCGCGUGCAGGAUGAAGGCCUUCGGGUUGUAAACUGAUUUUGUACGGAACGAAAAGCCUUCUUUUAAUACAGGAGGGUCAUGACGGUACCGUAAGAAUAAGCACCGGCUAACUACGUG